GACGAACGCUGGCGGCGUGCUUAACACAUGCAAGUCGAACGGAAAGGCCCUGCUUUUGUGGGGUGCUCGAGUGGCGAACGGGUGAGUAACACGUGAGUAACCUGCCCUUGACUUUGGGAUAACUUCAGGAAACUGGGGCUAAUACCGGAUAGGAGCUCCUGCUGCAUGGUGGGGGUUGGAAAGUUUCGGCGGUUGGGGAUGGACUCGCGGCUUAUCAGCUUGUUGGUGGGGUAGUGGCUUACCAAGGCUUUGACGGGUAGCCGGCCUGAGAGGGUGACCGGCCACAGUGGGACUGGGAUACGGCCCAGACGCCUACGGGAGGCAGCAGUGGGGAAUAUUGCACAAUGGGCGGAAGCCUGAUGCAGCAACGCCGCGUGCGGGAUGACGGCCUUCGGGUUGUAAACCGCUUUCGCCUGUGACGAAGCGUGAGUGACGGUAAUGGGUAAAGAAGCACCGGCUAACUACGU
rnacentral:rRNA from 1 species